rnacentral:tRNA from 1 species
CGAGGUGUAGUGCAGUAUGGUCAGUGCAUCUGUUUUGGGUACAGAGGGCCACGGGUACGAAUCAUGUCACCUUGA